rnacentral:rRNA from 1 species
CCUACGGGUGGCAGCAGUGAGGAAUAUUGGUCAAUGGACGAGAGUCUGAACCAGCCAAGUAGCGUGAAGGAUGACUGCCCUAUGGGUUGUAAACUUCUUUUAUAUGGGAAUAAAAUGUUCCACGUGUGGGAUUUUGUAUGUACCAUAUGAAUAAGGAUCGGCUAACUCCGUGCCAGCAGCCGCGGUAAUACGGAGGAUCCGAGCGUUAUCCGGAUUUAUUGGGUUUAAAGGGAGCGUAGGUGGAUUGUUAAGUCAGUUGUGAAAGUUUGCGGCUCAACCGUAAAAUUGCAGUUGAAACUGGCAGUCUUGAGUACAGUAGAGGUGGGCGGAAUUCGUGGUGUAGCGGUGAAAUGCUUAGAUAUCACGAAGAACUCCGAUUGCGAAGGCAGUUCACUGGACUGCAACUGAUACUGAGGCUCGAAAGUGUGGGUAUCAAACAGGAUUAGAUACCCUAGUAGUC